CCAAGGAGUCUAACAUGUGCGCGAGUCAUUGGGUACUUGUUUAAGCCUAAAGGCGCAAUGAAAGUGAAGGUCCUGCCCUACCGCGGACCGAGGGAGGAUGGGUCAGUUUCUUGUUCGUGAGUAGCUGGCUCGCAUCUCCCGGGGCGUCUCGUGCUCAUUACGAUCAGAGGCGCACCUACAGCGUACACUUUGGGACCCGAAAGAUGGUGAACUAUGCCUGGUCAGGACGAAGUCAGGGGAAACCCUGAUGGAGGUCCGUAUCGAUUCUGACGUGCAAAUCGAUCGUCGGAACUGGGUAUAGGGGCGAAAGACUAAUCGAACCAUC
rnacentral:rRNA from 1 species